UGUGAAACACUUCUUUGGGGCCUCAUAAACAACCACAGAACCACAAGUUGGGUACGGUGGCAGUCACACAAGACUGGGUCCGGGAUAUUGGUCAGCAGGCAGGGCAAAUCACACUGUCUGCAAACCACAGAGUUUCGUAGAGCGGUGAAAGAGAUCAUAUAGUCACCCAACUUUAAGAAAAGACUACAUAGGAAGGAGAAAACCAUGGCUUCGGACAGCAUGUUUGAGUCAUUUCCUUCAUACUCACAGUGCUUCAUGAGAGAGCUGGCUCCAGCACACCGGUGAGAAGGGCCUUCCGCCAAGCCUAAGCACAGGUGGCCCUGGUGCCCCAAGAGAAAAGGGAGCACAGAAGAGGAUCAACCCCAUUCCAAAGCUACUUUACCGUCUGUUCUUCUUAUUGCAUACUAGUAUUUGGAUGUUUGGAGAAUUCCUAGACAUGCAUAGAUUAG
rnacentral:lncRNA from 1 species